UGGGCCUGGGGAGGAAGCCUCGGAAAACUGUAAAUAAUGGGCUGGUUUUGCCAAAACCGAUACCCCCCCCCGAGUGCGCCUUUCUGUCGGGGGAAGGAUGGCUCCUGCUCCUUCUCCUACGGCACGGAGGGAAGAGUGCGAUGUUUUCCAGGUAUGAAACGAGGAAGAGGAGGUGUGUGUUUCCUGAGAAAAAGUAGUAGGGGUUGUCCUGGGCUUCCUGUGGGAUUCUGGAGGAAAAAUGAAAAGGUAUCACGGCUUUGUGAGUGCAGUGUGGUGUGUGGUCAUCCCCCCUGUGCUCUCACCACCAGCAAGCAGAAGAUGCCACCUCUGCACACCUUCCUGGAAGAUGAACUGGGGUCCCUGCUGGAAGUCCCCCCUGCAUUUACUGGGGGCUGCUACCUCCUCCAGGCACCAUGUUGACUCCCCAGAAUAAUUAAGCCACUGUCUCAUGGCUUUGCACCCAGUUCUGCGGCUUCUGGAGCUGCUUCUGCUCUCUCCAUGUGGUGAGGAAGGCCACCCAUCCUGCAGAUAGAUGGACUGGACUUUCCUCAGUAAGCACAAUCAGCUCUUGACCACACUGUACAGCCCAUAGAACACAGACGUGGUGAACAGGGCUGGACAGUCCCUCCAGCAGGAGCUGGCAGCAGCUGCAGAGCUAGGACACAACCUCACAACCCUGCACUCGACAGCCUUCUUCAUGGUGCACAGGAGAUCUCCAGCUGUGGCACCUUGCAAGGGAACUAUAAGACAUCCCAAUGGGAACAAUCCCACAUUUCAAGUGGUGUUUAGAGGUGACCUGCUCGCUUCCCUGGAGGAGACAGGGAAGAGACAUGGGGGUCCUCACCAUGCGUGCCUCUGGGAUGAAGUGGUGAAUGCAGAGGUGUGGCAUCCUGAAGUUGGCAGCAGAGGGACAAGCAUGGGCCGACACGGGAGAAGCUUUCGAGGCAUGCAUUUGGACAGACAGGCCAGUAAGCAGCCUCAGCCUAAUACACCCUGUUAUACCCAGAAGAAGCUCUCUCCUUACUGUUUGGAGCGGUGCUGGUAGGAAGGCAAGGAAUAGGUGGAGGACAGGUGGGAAGCCUGCCAGCGGCACAAAGCUCCCCCUCCAUGGGAUUCAGCCAUCCCCACCUUUGCCCAGAGUGGGGCACUGAGAGGACACCACUGCUGGUGUGCAGACAGAGGGUUCCAGGGAGUGAGGGUGGGAAAUGCCCUGGCAGAGCUCAGGGCCCCUGGGGAAAGCAGGAAAAUAGCUGAGAGGGAGAUAAGCCUGGAGUACAAUACCCUGGCUGAGGUCUCCACACAGACACAGUCAGAAAAGCUGCUGCUCCCAUUUCCUAUGACACAGAGGAGCCUUCCAGCAGCACUGCCCUGGGGAGGGUCUGUGCCUGCUAAAGGGCUGCUGGUGUUAGGGGAAGCUGCCAUAGCUGGCAGUAGGUGGGGAUCUACCCUCGCCACCUGGCUGGACUGACAAGCUUGGCAUCUUUUGCAUAUCCUUUUGCUGUGUUGUCAGCAAGACCUGGCUUCCCUCACUUGCCUUCAGGUAUAAUGGUCCCAGUGGAGUUAUGUCCGACUGGCUUCAAGAAGCAGAAAGGGAGAACCAACCCUCCUCUGACAUCCACUUGGUGUAAGCACCCACCUUUUCUGCCAUCAAUGGCAGAAAGAACAAAACUGUCAAACAAAGAGGUCAUGGAGAACACUGGAGGGCAGGUUCUCCAUAGUUCUGCUUUCCUGUCUCACCAGUGCCCUGCUGAAUUUGAUCCACAGACACCACAAAUAGGUCUCCGCAGCAGCCAGUCUUGCCCAUGUGCCACAGGCUCUUGCAAAUUGGACUGGGAACUUCCGGCCUCCUCUGCUGCUGCUGCCACAGGCUCUGAGACCACCUGGUCAUGCCCUUUGUGAUGAAGAAGCUGAGGAAGGAAAUGCUGGCACCUGGCAGCGGAUGGGCAGAGCUGUAUGGGAGAGCAGGGCCUUUCUCUUAGCCCCAUGGUGGCAAAGAGGUUGUCACAUCACCCCAGUGCUGUGCCCGGCAGUCUGAAACGAAGUCCAACAUGCUUUUGCUGGACCUUGCUAUGCCUUGGCCAACAGGCCAAGAUGCCUUUCAACCAGAAGCACAGUACUGAACAGCCCCCACGUUUGGAGAGCUCUCUAAGGUUGGUUUGGACCCAGAGGCUUGGACUCUGUUUGCAUCUCUACCCAUCUUAGCUGCUCAGCUCAGGCCACCUGGAUCAAAGGCUCACCUUCCCUCGCUGAACAUGGCAAAGGGAGUUUGCAGGAUGGGCUGAAUGAAGGAUGUGAUUAGAUCUGCCUCAUCUCCCUCCUUUGUUUAAGGAAAUGUGAUGGCAACCCAUCUCCAAUCUAGCUUCAUCCAGUUUUAUAGAUACGUAAUUGCUCACCUGCUUCAGGAAACCUGGAUUAUUAUUUGGCACCGCCCAGAAGGAAAAUUAACUUUUUGCUGUGAUUGGGAGAAAAAAAUUACAAAUUUGCUGUAUAUACGAUGUGUUAAACAGCCUUCAGGCAGGCUGCAGGGCAGGAGCGAGGGGCGGGGACAGAGCUGGGGGCCUGGGCCUGGGUUAGCAACCUGCAGGAAGGACAUGAAGAUGAGAAGUGCUGCCUUCCUUCCCGCAGCAGUUGUUACGUGUCAGGCCUGCUUAUGCGCUUAACGCUCCUCAGUGCUUUUGCCCUCUGAUAGCCAGAGGCUAGAUAGUGGCCUGCUACAGUGAA